rnacentral:rRNA from 1 species
UACAGGGGGGGCAAGCGUUGUCCGGAAUUACUGGGCGUACAGCGCGCGCAGGCGGUUGAACACGUGCCGUGUGGACAGACGUCGGCUUAACCGACGUAGGCCAGGGUACACGGUUCGACUGGAGGCAGAGAGAGGGAUGUGGAAUACCCGGUGGAGCGGUGAAAUGGCGUAGAUAUCUGGAGGAACACCAGUGGCGAAGGCGGCAUCCUGGCCCUGUCCUGACGCUCAGGGGCGAAAGCGUGGGGAGCAACCGG